UGCUUUAAAAGCAUUAUCCUGAUACAAACAUAUAUUUUUUAUAUAAUAUUGGUUUCCCGUUGUAAAGUAAAUACUGUCCCAUUUGCCUGUAACCCAGAAACUAUGUAAACAUCAAUUUGACCAUGAACAUGGUCUUUAAAAACAACAAAACCAGUGGGAGGACUUUGCUUCUUCUUUCAUUGAUCCAAUACACAAAACUGGUAUCUGGUAGAUCAGUUUAUUUUAGGCACAUGUGAAGAUCUGCCGAUCUAUCACUUUCCGCUCUAGGCAGUCACCACCAGAUGUAUUUUCUCACAGACUUGUUGUAUUGUGCCCCGCAGCGCUGAAUGGCCUCUUUUGAAACAACAUGUCAGAAGGCAAAAAAGGGAAGAUGGAGGAGAUUGCACAAUGAUAGGCUGCUCGGUAGAAAAGCAAAGACACAAGGACGUCCAAGCUUAGAAAAGAACAAUUAAGUGACAUAAAGGCCUCCUGGAGGGUGAGCGGUGAUGCUGGAUCGGUCAGCAUGGAGCUUAUGCAGAUGCAGCCUGGCCAUUCAACCUCUGGACGAAAUAAAAGCGAACAGAUUGCGUGUGUAUAUAUGCAAACACAGUUUCUGUUACUAUUGGUUUUCUUUCAUUUUAACGAUAUGCUGUCAUUUGCAUCAGUAAAGAGAAAAUUACAAUUUUAAAUGAAUAUACAGCUACAUAAAACACAUAAAAUGUUAUGCAAUAUAUUUCAUGACCUGUUUAGGCCUAAUAACAGUGAGACUGUUGAACCUCCGCCAGACACAAAGUCAAAAUCAACGUUUAACUUUAGACAGGAAGGAUUUUGAAAGUUGCCUGGCUACUUAUAUAACCUAGAAAAACAAGCGAGUUAUCACCACCCACCCACCCAACCACCCACCCUCCAGCCAGCCGUUGAGGAGGUUCAACUGUAGCUGUGAGGUUUUGACCUGUUCUCUGUUGGCUCUCAUCACAAGCUGGUUUAACGGACUGUUUGAUAUGGAAUGAAUGUUCCCUGAGCCCCAUUAACGCUAAAUGAUUCUGAGAACAAGUGUACAAAGCCACUGUGAUAAUUGUCUUUGGAUGAGAAACGAUAAUGGGCACUUAGAAAUGUGGCUUUGGAAUAACAUGUAGGAAUUUAGUGAUGUAAACAUAUCAACGUCCAUUGAACCCCCCAAAAACCAUUAGAUGACUAUUUAGCAGUUCGGUGACAUUCAGCUGUAUUGAAUGCUAAAGAAACAAAUGCUCCUGUUUAAAUGCAGAAGGUUGUAAGUGUUUGAACUUUAAAAUGUUUGCAAAAUGUGGUUCACAAAUAUCUCAGUAGUAUCUGAAUGGUUUCGCAAUGCAAAUUUUUCCUAUGUUUGAUCUAACCACUCACACAUUAGAAAAAUAAUAUUUUGUAAUCAGCAUCUUUGUCAAAAGUGCAUUUACACUUAAAAAAUGAUAUCAAAUCAGCAUAAAAGGCUAUGUUAUGUUACUUUAACCUAACAAAUUAAAGGACAAGUUCGGUAUUU